rnacentral:rRNA from 1 species
AUUGAACGCUGGCGGCAUGCCUUACACAUGCAAGUCGAACGGUAACGCGGGGCAACCUGGCGACGAGUGGCGAACGGGUGAGUAAUGUAUCGGAACGUGCCCAGUUGUGGGGGAUAACUGCUCGAAAGAGCAGCUAAUACCGCAUACGACCUGAGGGUGAAAGCGGGGGAUCGCAAGACCUCGCGCGAUUGGAGCGGCCGAUGUCAGAUUAGGUAGUUGGUGGGGUAAAGGCCCACCAAGCCGACGAUCUGUAGCUGGUCUGAGAGGACGACCAGCCACACUGGGACUGAGACACGGCCCAGACUCCUACGGGAGGCAGCAGUGGGGAAUUUUGGACAAUGGGCGCAAGCCUGAUCCAGCCAUGCCGCGUGCAGGAUGAAGGCCUUCGGGUUGUAAACUGCUUUUGUACGGAACGAAAAGACUCUGGUUAAUACCUGGGGUCCAUGACGGUACCGUAAGAAUAAGCACCGGCUAACUACGUGCCAGCCGCCGCGGUAACAC